rnacentral:tRNA from 91 species
GGGCCCCUAGCUCAUGCUUGGUUAGAGCAGCGAACUCAUAAUUCGUUGGUGCCGGGUUCGACUCCCGGGGGGCCCACCA